rnacentral:misc_RNA from 1 species
UCUAGACUCGUCCGUCAAACGAUUCUUGAUCGAAUUUAUAACUCCACCUCGCCCUACGACAAUUUCCCUCCAGCGCAUGUCAGAAGUCUCCUUCGAGGCAAAAGAUUGAAGGGUUGGGGAUCAUAUGGCGCUGUUUUCGAACACCUCAUCCAAAGAGUGAAGCCUCAGGUGAUCAUAGAGGUCGGCACUUUCUUGGGCGCGUCGGCACUCCACAUGGCCGAGUUGACCCGUAAACUCGGACUUAACUCGCAUAUUCUCUGCAUUGACGAUUUUCGUGGGUGGCCAGGGUUUCGUGACCG